CUUCUUGCCAAUAUGUGAAAGUCUGGCUGCCGGGAAGGGGGCCGUGCUGGAGAAAUCGCAUGGAAGGACCACACCAAGAAAGAUGCCUGAGGAGACCUGGCUGUCCCAGGCCCUAGCUGCUCAAGUCUUCUUUUCCCAGGCCUUAGACACAGGAGCCCAGAAGCCUUUAAGAUGCCCGGACAUCAUCUGACUGCGACCUCACUCCACAGGCCCAUUGAUCCGGAGGAACUGUACAGGAAGAGCUGUAGGUGAGAAAUUCACCCAAGGAGCGAUUAGAUGACAAGGCGCAGGACUUCAAGUUGAUGCUGCAAUGUAAUGAGACUUGAGGGCCAUGGAAAGGGGGAAGCCAGCUGCCAUGAUGUGAAAAGGCUCAUACUGCCCUGUGGAGAAGAGCGGAGGCCCCUGCCAUUUGGCAGCACCAGCUGCAGCCCUGUGUGCAGACCGCCUGGGGAGUCAAACCUCCAGCUCCAGUCGAGCCUUCAGAUGGGGGCAGCCCUUGCUGCAUCUGACCGCAGCCUCCUGAGAGAUCCUGAGCUGGAACCAGCCAGCCACACUGCUCCAGAACGAUAGUCCAAUGUCGGUGUCCCGGUCCGCAAGCAGGCUUCCCUCACGUGGAAAUCCAGGGCUGCCUCUUUUGGCUCCCUAACCCGUGGGAUCUCAGGCUUCUGCAUCCAGCUCGUGGAAGGGGAAGCUACUGAUGAUGCGCUGCUCCUUCAGUAUAAACCGAAAAAGAGGAAGAACGGAACACAGGAAAGAGGAGAUCCAAUGCAGUAGAGAGGAGAAGGGAAUUCCCACUUUGAUGCUGAAGGGACAUCUCAGGACAACAGCCAAUGCACCAACCAGGGAAAGAAACCAUCCACCCCCAGCAGUCCAGAGGCCAUGGAAAAACUCCUUCAAGAAGAUAAAUUGAUAGACUAUCUGAUGUGAAUGAAAGAAAACCAGUUGCCAUUGCAAGAGGUCACUCAUAAAAUUCCACGGAGAGUAACUGAAGCCUCCUGCCAACAGCCAUGGGGAUGAACCAUCCUGGAAGUGGAUCCCCAGCCCCAGACAAGCCUUCAGAUGAGACCACAGCCCUAGCCAACAUGACUGCAACCUCCUGAGAGACCCUGAGCCAGACCCACGCAGCUAAGUUGCUCCUGAAUUCCUGACUCUCAGAAACUGUGAUGUAAUGUUUAUUGCUUGAAGCUGCCAAAUUUGGGGCUGAUACUAUGCAACAACAGAUAACUAAUACACACUAUGAU